GGUGAGAUAACAUAAAGGUAAUGUGUGAGAUUGCAAAUCUUACAAUGGCAGUUCGAUUCUGCCUCUCACCU
rnacentral:tRNA from 1 species